rnacentral:rRNA from 1 species
UACAGAGGUCUCAAGCGUUGUUCGGAUUCACUGGGCGUAAAGGGUGCGUAGGCUGCCAAUUAAGUCUGAUGUGAAAGUUUGCAGCUCAACUGCAAAAGCGCAUUGGAAACUACUUGGCUAGAGAGUUGGAGGGGAAGUCGGAAUUCUCGGUGUAGCAGUGAAAUGCGUAGAUAUCGAGAGGAACAUCAGUGGCGAAGGCGGACUUCUGGACAACUUCUGACGCUCAAGCACGAAAGCUAGGGGAGCAAAC